GGUUGCGAUCAUACCAGCACUAAUGCGCCGGAUCCCAUCAGAACUCCGCAGUUAAGCAUGCUUGGGCGAGAGUAAUAUUAGGAUGGGUGACCCCCUGGGAAGUCCGCGUGUUGCAACCC
rnacentral:rRNA from 1 species